rnacentral:rRNA from 1 species
AGGUAAGCUACUAAGAGCGAAUGGUGGAUGCCUUGACUGGUAAAGGCGAUGAAGGACGUACUAGACUGCGAUAAGCUACGGGGAGCUGUCAAGAAGCUUUGAUCCGUAGAUUUCCGAAUGGGGCAACCCAAUGUAUAGAGAUAUGCAUUACCUAUAUAGGAGCGAACGAGGGGAAUUGAAACAUCUUAGUACCCUCAGGAAAAGAAAUCAAUAGAGAUUGCGUCAGUAGCGGCGAGCG